rnacentral:rRNA from 1 species
CUACUACCGAUUGAAUGGCUCAGUGAGGCUUUCGGACUGUCCUAAGGAGAGUGGCUAACACUCACCCCGGGACGGAAAGUUGUUCAAACUUGGUCAUUUAGAGGAAGUAAAAGUCGUAACAAGGUU